rnacentral:pre_miRNA from 13 species
CCCUGCUCUCAGCCUCUUUACGGUGCUGCCUUGUGGCAUCUUGAUCAAGCAGCAUUGUACAGGGCUAUGAAGGCGUGG